rnacentral:rRNA from 1 species
CAGUAGCCGCGGUAAUACAGAGGGUGCGAGCGUUAAUCGGAUUUACUGGGCGUAAAGCGUGUGUAGGUUGUUGUUCAAGUCAGUUGUGAAAUCCCUGGGCUCAACCUGGGAACUGCUUCUGAGACUGAACGACUAGAGUACGGUAGAGGGUGGUGGAAUUUCCGGUGUAGCGGUGAAAUGCGUAGAUAUCGGAAGGAACAUCAAUGGCGAAGGCAGCCACCUGGGCCUGUACUGACACUGAGACACGAAAGCGUGGGGAUCAAACAGGAUUAGAUACCCCGGUAGUCCCUGUCUCUUAUAC